rnacentral:rRNA from 1 species
CAGCCGCCGCGGUAAUACGUAGGUCCCGAGCGUUGUCCGGAUUUAUUGGGCGUAAAGCGAGCGCAGGCGGUUAGAUAAGUCUGAAGUUAAAGGCUGUGGCUUAACCAUAGUAUGCUUUGGAAACUGUUUAACUUGAGUGCAGAAGGGGAGAGUGGAAUUCCAUGUGUAGCGGUGAAAUGCGUAGAUAUAUGGAGGAACGCCGGUGGCGAAAGCGGCUCUCUGGUCUGUAACUGACGCUGAGGCUCGAAAGCGUGGGGAGCAAACAGGAUUAGAUACCCCAGUAGUCCCUGUCUCUUAUACA